rnacentral:lncRNA from 10 species
GCUGGCGGUGAGCACAAGUUCAGUGCUCAACUUCCCGCUCUUAACGAGACCCGGGAUCCCUUUGGAGAGGCCCUCGGGAGCUGGCGACAGGGCUGGGAGUGGCGUGGGUAAGCUGGCCGGCGCGGGGCGCGGGCGGCGGGGCACAAGGGCGCUACAAGAAGAGGGCGCGAGGGUGCCCGCGGCCAGCCGGGCGCUCCGAGAAGUCAGCGCGAGCAGCUGUGACUUCACCUAUUAGCCCCGAUGUCUUUCCGAGGAGCCUGGUGGAGUUAAACAGCCCACAAUGGGCGCUCUGGGGCGCCUCCAGCCUGACCUCCACCCGGGUUUAAUAGUUUCAUAGGAACUUCAUUAAAUCAAUUACUUAGUGAGCACAUCAUCAUUUAUUUGUAAUUAGCAGCGAGGAGCGCGUUCUCUCCCCCAGCCCGCGGCCCGGGUCCCAGCGGGGUUGACUAGUUGUGCAAGCACUUUUGUUUGCUCGAGUGUUGACUCCCGGCAUUAUUCGGCCCGGGUAAUCUUUACGUCUCAAUCUAGUAUUCAGGGGGCGAAAGGAAAACAAACAGGGCGCAGGCCGGAGGCCAGCCCUUUGGUCCCAGCCGUCCCAGAACUCGGCCCUCGCUGGGCGUGCAGGGCGCACCUCUGCGGCCCCGGCUCCUCCCGGGAGGAAUAGGCGAGAGCGCCACCGGGGCAGAGGGGCAGGAGCCAGCCCGGAGGGUCCAGAAGGAAAGUGGCGAAGGAAGAGGCGAUGAAGGA